AUGGACAGAAGUGCAUGCCAUCAAUACUUAAAGGGAUUAACUAUUUUGAUAAUAGUAAUUCCUCAUAUAAAACAUUUGUUGGUUCCAGUUUAAUACAUGUGAAGAUUAUUUACCUUUUCUACUUUUUAUUUUACUUUAUAAUAGAGCUGUGCGAUAUGGACAAAAAAAACCUAUCACGAUUUUUUGAUCAAUUUUGCGAUUUUGAUUUUAAUCACGAUUUUGACACACACAGACAUGCUUUACAGUCAUAAAUGCAUUCAGUAUAAAUUUGAAACAUAUUUCCAAAAGAAAACCAAUGAGAGAUUUAUCAAAAAGUUGUAACAUGUCUCUAGAACAGACAAAAUAAGUCAAAAUAAUCACUAAGUAAAGAUGUCAAACAAAAUGUCUAGACAUAUGGCAAAAAAUAAAAUAG
ensembl:lncRNA